rnacentral:rRNA from 1 species
UGGGGAAUAUUGCACAAUGGGCGCAAGCCUGAUGCAGCCAUGCCGCGUGUGUGAAGAAGGCCUUCGGGUUGUAAAGCACUUUCAGCGAGGAGGAAGGGUUCAGUGUUAAUAGCACUGUUCAUUGACGUUACUCGCAGAAGAAGCACCGGCUAACUCCGUGCCAGCAGCCGCGGUAAUACGGAGGGUGCAAGCGUUAAUCGGAAUUACUGGGCGUAAAGCGCACGCAGGCGGUUUGUUAAGUCAGAUGUGAAAUCCCCGCGCUUAACGUGGGAACUGCAUUUGAAACUGGCAAGCUAGAGUCUUGUAGAGGGGGGUAGAAUUCCAGGUGUAGCGGUGAAAUGCGUAGAGAUCUGGAGGAAUACCGGUGGCGAAGGCGGCCCCCCUGGACAAAGACUGACGCUCAGGUGCGAAAGCGUGGGGAGCAAAACAGGAUUAGAUACCCUGGUAGUCCACGCUGUAAACGAUGUCGACUUGGAGGUUGUGCCCUUGAGGCGUGGCUUCCGGAGCUAACGCGUUAAGUCGACCGCCUGGGGGAGUACGGCCGC